rnacentral:sRNA from 1 species
CAAGACGGGCGGAUCACGAGGUCAGGAGCUCGAGACCAUCCUGGCUAACACGGUGAAACCCCGUCUCUACUAAAAAAUACAAAAAACUAGCCGGGCGAGGUAGCGGGCGCCUGUGGUCCCAGCUACUCCGGAGGCUGAGGCAGGAGAAUGGCGNUGCCACCAUGCCUGGCUAAUUUUUUCGUAUUUUUAGUAGAGACAGGGUUUCAUUGUGUUAGCCAGGAUGGUCUUGAUCUCCUGACCUCGUGAUCUACUCGCCUUGGCCUCCCAAAGUGCUGGGAUUACAGGCGUGAGCCACUGCACCCGGC